rfam:Canis lupus familiaris chromosome 19, whole genome shotgun sequence.
GUGCUUGCUUCAGCAGUACAUAUACUAAAAGUGGACCAAUACAGAGAUUAGCAUGGUCCCUGCAUAAGAAUGACAUGUAAAUUCAUAAAAUGUCCCAUAAAGCA